UACGGAGGGGGCUAGCGUUGUUCGGAAUUACUGGGCGUAAAGCGCGCGUAGGCGGCUUUGUACGUUAGAGGUGAAAGCCCGGAGCUCAACUCCGGAAUUGCCUUUAAGACUGCAUCGCUAGAAUCAUGGAGAGGUGAGUGGAAUUCCGAGUGUAGAGGUGAAAUUCGUAGAUAUUCGGAAGAACACCAGUGGCGAAGGCGACUCACUGGACAUGUAUUGACGCUGAGGUGCGAAAGCGUGGGGAGCAAACAGG
rnacentral:rRNA from 1 species